GGGCGUGCGAAGAGUUGCUCGGAUUCCCCUUCAAGAUAUUAUGGGUGAUGUAAACCCGAUUGUCCGAUGCU